UCCCCGGUGGCUCAGCUGGUAGAGCGGGUGACUGUUAAUCACUAGGUCGGGGGUUCGAAUCCCUCCCGGGGAGCCA
rnacentral:tRNA from 1 species